UAGGGAAUAUUAGUAAUGGGCGAAAGCCUGAACUAGCAACGCCGCGUGUGCGAAGAAGGCCUUCGGGUUGUAAAGCACUUUUUGAGAGGAUGAGGAAGGACGGUACUCUCAGAAUAAGUCUCGGCUAACUACGUGCCAGCAGCCGCGGUAACACGUAGGAGGCAAACGUUAUCCGGAUUUACUGGGCGUAAAGCGCAUGUAGGUGGUUUGGUAAGUAGGGCGUGAAAGCUCCUGGCUCAACUGGGGGAGGACGUCCUAAACUGCCAAGCUUGAGGAUGGCAGAGGGAGGUGGAAUUACGGGUGUAGCGGUGGAAUGCGCAGAUAUCCGUAGGAACACCAGUGGCGAAGGCGGCCUCCUGGACCACUCCUGACACUCAGACGCGAAAGCUAGGGUAGCAAACA
rnacentral:rRNA from 1 species